rnacentral:lncRNA from 1 species
UUCAACAUGUUUACCUAAAAAGAAAUCGUUGUGCUGAUUACGUGGUUAACCAUGCCUUCUUGGCUCCUCCAGGAUUUUAUUUCCAUCGUCAACCCUUUGUUGAUCUCAUUAAUAUUACCAGAGACAACUUCAUUGGGGUUUCUUAGCCUAGAAUGUGCAACAUCUAAAUCUUGUUGUGUUUUUUCUUAUCCCUUUGUAAUAAAAAAAAUAUGUAAAACUAAAAAAG